ensembl:lncRNA
GGAAACGAGAACAAACUUUUCCCGGUCAUUUUAUGCAGCUAAAGUUGUUUAGUAUUUUCUCUUAUUUAGACACCAACACAUUAAAGAACACGUCUACAACCUGUAAAAACCAUCCCAGCGAGGAAAGUCGUGAGGUUAGCGAGCUAUUUAUGAUUAUAUGAUUAUAGCGUAACGUUAACCGGCUGGCCAGGUAUCAACAUAGUCAGUCAGUGCACUUGUUGGUGAUACGUCGAUUCAACCUGAAGGUAGCGAGAGAUCACUUGUUUUGUGACCGUAUUGCAGGUUAUUAUUCCAACCUUGCUCUAACGUUAAGUCAACUACACAAGGUCUCGGUGAGCAGGUGUGUUUUGAGCAAGGCUGGAACAAAAACCUGCACACCAGUUCUCCAAGGGUUAGGGUUGGACAUCCUGGCAUCUGCUCCAAUAUACCGAGGGUGGCGUGAUUCAUUAUAACCAGGAACUGAGAAUGAUGCAGUCCUGAAGAAGCUGGAGGUGAUGAUGCUGGAGUGUGCCAAACUGGACCAGGAGAUCAACUGCUUCGUUGAGGUGGUGAACUGUGUCACUGCAGAG